rnacentral:rRNA from 1 species
GAUUAUGGCUCAGGAUGAACGCUGGCGGCGUGCCUAAUACAUGCAAGUCGAACGAAGUACUCGGUACUAGUGGCGAACGGGUGAGUAACACGUAGGCAACCUGCCCAUAUGACUGGGAUAACAGUUGGAAACGACUGCUAAUACCGGAUAGGUAAGCGUAUGGCAUCAUAUGCUUAUUAAAGUUGAGAUACACAUAUGGAUGGACCUGCGGUGCAUUAGUUAGUUGGUGAGGUAACGGCCCACCAAGACGAUGAUGCAUAGCCGACCUGAGAGGGUGACCGGCCACACUGGGACUGAGACACGGCCCAGACUCCUACGGGAGGCAGCAGUAGGGAAUUUUCGGCAAUGGGGGCAACCCUGACCGAGCAACGCCGCGUGAAGUGAAGACGGUCUUCGGAUUGUAAAGCUCUGUUGUAAGGGAAGAAUGUUAGUGAUAGUAUCAUUAAGUGACGGUACCUUACCAGAAAGUCACGGCUAACUACGUGCCAGCCGCAGC